rnacentral:rRNA from 1 species
CAAUAGCGUAUAUUAAAGUUGUUGCGGUAAAAAAGCUCGUGGUUGGAUUUCUGUUGAGAGCGACCGGUCCAUACCAUGUAUGCGUAUCUGGCUUGCUCUCGGCAUCCUCUCGAUAGACGUUACUGCGCUUGAUUGCGUGGUGCGGAUCUCGGGACUUUUACUUUGAGGAAAUUAGAGUGUUCACGGCAGGCUUUCGCCAGAAUACAUUAGCAUGGAAUAAUACUAUAGGAUCUUGGUUCUAUUUUGUUGGUUUCUAGAAUUGAGAUAAUGAUUAAUAGGGACAAUUGGGGGCAUUCGUAUCAACACGUCAGAGGUGGAAUUCUUGGAUUGUGUUGCGACGAACUACUGCGAAAGCAUUUGCCAAGGAUGUUUUCAUUGA